GACGAACGCUGGCGGCGUGCUUAACACAUGCAAGUCGAACGCUGAAGCUCAGCUUUUGUUGGGUGGAUGAGUGGCGAACGGGUGAGUAACACGUGAGUAACCUGCCUCCUUCUUUGGGAUAACGCCCGGAAACGGGUGCUAAUACUGGAUAUUCACUGGUCUUCGCAUGGGGGUUGGUGGAAAGGGUUUUUCUGGUGGGGGAUGGGCUCGCGGCCUAUCAGCUUGUUGGUGGGGUGAUGGCCUACCAAGGCUUUGACGGGUAGCCGGCCUGAGAGGGUGACCGAUCACAUUGGGACUGAGAUACGGCCCAGACUCCUACGGGAGGCAGCAGUGGGGAAUAUUGCACAAUGGGCGCAAGCCUGAUGCAGCGACGCCGCGUGAGGGAUGGAGGCCUUCGGGUUGUGAACCUCUUUCGCUCAUGGUCAAGCCGCAACAAUGGUUGUGGUGAGGGUAGUGGGUAAAGAAGCGCCGGCUAACUACGUG
rnacentral:rRNA from 1 species